rnacentral:rRNA from 1 species
UAGAGUUUGAUCCUGGCUCAGAACGAACGCUGGCGGCGUGGAUAAGACAUGCAAGUCGAGCGCUGAUUUCAAGGUAGCAAUAUUUUGAAGUCGGAGCGGCGCAAGGGUGCGUAACACGUGGGUAACCUGCCAUGAAGUUUGGGAUAACUCGCUGAAAGGCGAGCUAAUACCGGAUGUGACAAUUGAGAGGCAUCUUCUGAUUGUCAAAGCUGGGGACCGUAAGGCCUGGCGCUUCUUGAUGAGCCCAAGUCGGAUUAGCUAGUUGGUAGGGUAACGGCCUACCAAGGCGACGAUCCGUAACUGGUCUGAGAGGACGACCAGUCACACCGGAACUGAGACACGGUCCGGACUCCUACGGGAGGCAGCAGUGGGGAAUAUUGGACAAUGGGCGAAAGCCUGAUCCAGCGACGCCGCGUGGGUGAAGAAGGCCUGCGGGUUGUAAAACCCUUUCGACGGGGAAGAAACCGCAAGGUUGACGGUACCCGUAGAAGAAGCCCCGGCUAACUCCGUGCCAGCAGCCGCGGUAAUACAGAGGUCCCAAGCGUUGUUCGGAUUCACUGGGCGUAAAGAGUGCGUAGGUGGCCUAUUAAGUUUGAUGUGAAAUCUCCGAGCUCAACUCGGAAACUGCAUUGAAUACUGGUAAGCUAGAGGGUCGGAGGGGAGACUGGAAUUCUUGGUGUAGCAGUGAAAUGCGUAGAUAUCAAGAGGAACACCAAUGGCGAAGGCAAGUCUCUGGACGACCCCUGACACUGAGGCACGAAAGCUAGGGGAGCAAACAGGAUUAGAUACCCUGGUAGUCCUAGCCGUAAACGGUGCACACUUGCUAUAAGAGGAAUCGACCCCUUUUGUGGCGAAGCUAACGCGUUAAGUGUGCCGCCUGGGAAGUACGGUCGCAAGAUUAAAACUCAAAGAAAUUGACGGGGGCCCGCACAAGCGGUGGAGUAUGUGGCUUAAUUCGAUGCAACGCGAAGAACCUUACCUGGCCUUGACAUGCAAGUGGUAGGAACCUGAAAGGGCGACGACCUAGCAAUAGGAGCUUGCACAGGUGCUGCAUGGCUGUCGUCAGCUCGUGUCGUGAGAUGUUGGGUUAAGUCCCGCAACGAGCGCAACCCCUAUGUCCUGUUGCCACCUGAACGAGAGUUCGGAGCACUCUGGACAGACUGCCUUGCUUAAACGAGGAGGAAGGUGGGGAUGACGUCAAGUCAGUAUGGCCCUUACGGCCAGGGCUGCACACGUACUACAAUGCCCGGCACAAUGGGAAGCAAUACCGUGAGGUGGAGCAAAUCCUCAAAACCGGGCUCAGUUCGGAUUGUAGGCUGCAACUCGCCUACAUGAAGCUGGAAUCGCUAGUAAUGGCGCAUCAGCUACGGCGCCGUGAAUACGUUCCCGGGCCUUGUACACACCGCCCGUCACAUCAUGAAAGCCGUUUGUACCCGAAGUCAUCGUGCUAACCGCAAGGAGGCAGAUGCCGAAGGUAUGGAUGGUGAUUGGGAUGAAGUCGUAACAAGGUAACCGUA